ACACACAUAAUUUAGCAGGUAAAAUUAUUGACUUCCAAUUAAUGAAUGUGGGUUCAAGUCCCACUGUGUGUA
rnacentral:tRNA from 1 species